rnacentral:rRNA from 1 species
AUGCAGUCGAGCGAAUGGAUUAAGAGCUUGCUCUUAUGAAGUUAGCGGCGGACGGGUGAGUAACACGUGGGUAACCUGCCCAUAAGACUGGGAUAACUCCGGGAAACCGGGGCUAAUACCGGAUAACAUUUUGAACCGCAUGGUUCGAAAUUGAAAGGCGGCUUCGGCUGUCACUUAUGGAUGGACCCGCGUCGCAUUAGCUAGUUGGUGAGGUAACGGCUCACCAAGGCAACGAUGCGUAGCCGACCUGAGAGGGUGAUCGGCCACACUGGGACUGAGACACGGCCCAGACUCCUACGGGAGGCAGCAGUAGGGAAUCUUCCGCAAUGGACGAAAGUCUGACGGAGCAACGCCGCGUGAGUGAUGAAGGCUUUCGGGUCGUAAAACUCUGUUGUUAGGGAAGAACAAGUGCUAGUUGAAUAAGCUGGCACCUUGACGGUACCUAACCAGAAAGCCACGGCUAACUACGUGCCAGCAGCCGCGGUAAUACGUAGGUGGCAAGCGUUAUCCGGAAUUAUUGGGCGUAAAGCGCGCGCAGGUGGUUUCUUAAGUCUGAUGUGAAAGCCCACGGCUCAACCGUGGAGGGUCAUUGGAAACUGGGAGACUUGAGUGCAGAAGAGGAAAGUGGAAUUCCAUGUCGUAGCGGUGAAAUGCGUAGAGAUAUGGAGGAACACCAGUGGCGACGGCGACUUUCUGGUCUGUAACUGACACUGAGGCGCGAAAGCGUGGGGAGCAAACAGGAUUAGAUACCCCUGGUAGUCCACGCCGUAAACGAUGAGUGCUAAGUGUUAU